GAGAGAGAGACAGAGAAAUACAGAGAGACCCAUACUUGAGCUGUCUCAGGAGAGGACAGGCUUUUUAGGCCUCUCACAGCUAUGAGUGGGGAGGAUGUCCCAGAGCCCAUCCGCUGUUGCUUAGCCACCAGGUCUCUCAUACACUCCGCCUUCCUGGGGACCGGUUAGAGCGGCCGCAUCCUCUGUGCCGAGGGGACAGGCCGGGCCCUGGGCUCGGAGCCUGUCCAGCACCAAGCUCCUUUGUCCUUCUCUCCCCGAUGCUCUGUUGGAAAGGCCCGGACAAUUUUGCCUCCAUUCUUCCUGCCAACGAUGGAUCCGCUGGACGCUGUUCCCGCCUCUGGUUCCUAGGUUUCCCCACGAGAGCAUACCCUCUUUAUCUACAAUGCUCCUCUCAUUUCACCCUUUUAAAUAAGGUGCCCCUUUCUAGAGCCACGGGCUAUUCUCACUAAGUCUCAGUGACUUCUGUGUUCAAAUUUGCCUCCUUGAAUUUCAUAAAGUAUGAGGGGCAAGAUUUGAACCCAGCACCUUUGACUCAAAUUCUUGUGUCUUUUUCAUUAUUCCAACAUAACUCUAAAUCAGGGGUUAUGACCUGAGUUCUGUGUAAUUUUAAUUUUUUUGAUAACCCCAUUUCAAUAAAAUUGGUUUCCUUUGUAA